GACGAACGCUGGCGGCGUGCUUAACACAUGCAAGUCGAACGAAGUGGCGGACGGGUGAGUAACGCGUAAUCAACCUGCCCUUCAGAGGGGGAUAACAGUUGGAAACGACUGCUAAUACCGAAUAGUGAAGGAGGGGAUUGGGUCUGAGUAGCUAGUUGGAGGGGUAAAGGCCAACCAAGGCGAUGAGCAGUAGCCGGUCUGAGAGUAUGAACGGCCACAUUGGGACUGAGACACGGCCCAGACUCCUACGGGAGGCAGCAGUGGGGAAUCUUCCGCAAUGGACGAAAGUCUGACGGAGCAACGCCGCGUGAGUGAUGACGGCCUUCGGGUUGUAAAGCUCUGUUAAUCGGGACGCGGUACCGGAAUAGAAAGCCACGGCUAACUACGUGCCAGCAGCCGCGGUAAUUC
rnacentral:rRNA from 1 species